UCUCUGAAAUAUUACUGGUUGUCAG
rnacentral:piRNA from 1 species